CAGACUUUAAAUAGUCUUUGGUUUGUUCUCCUCAUUGUGAGAAUACCUUGCCACAACCAAACAACAUGCCUGCACCAGCUCCAAACCCUGAGGACCAUUGUCCAGUGAGCACGAAAAAUACGACGGGAGUCCUAACUUGUUGUAGGUAUGGCUACCAGCCCCCUCUUAUGCCAUGGACAGCCACUCCUUCUGAGGUUCCUGCUGCCUGGAUGUCCUGGAUGUCUCGUAGCAAACAGGUUUGGGAGAAGGCCCCUCAAUGGAUUGAAGCCGUACUCCGGAGACAGAAACAUCAAGCUGAUCAGUGACGUGGCGACUUCCUAUACCAUCGGAGACCGAGUACUUCUGCCCAAGUAUAU